rnacentral:lncRNA from 1 species
GGGGACUAUAUAAGAAUCAAUGAAGCUGUCACUAUCACGAACCACCCCACGAUCUGGCAUAUUAGGUGCAAUCGCAGAUAAAUACGGUAUAAGCACCACGCCUACACAAUAUCUAUCAUUUACCCAUGGAUCCGAUGGAUAAACGCUAUACGAUCCUAAGCAUGUAUAUAGAUCCAAUCUAACUAAGCCAAGUACAUAACUAUGAUAAACUAAGAACAAUAUAAUCUUGAAUAUAAGCAAGUAGAGCAAAGUCAUAAGCAAUAUAUUGAAGUAGAACAAAGUCAUAUUCAUAAUAUUGAAGAACAAAGAUAAUUAGAAAGUAAUUAGAAGCACAAUUAGAGAAUUACCAAUAAUCCUCUUGAC